UUCAUGUAUAUCAUAGAUCAAUAAUUUUCCUCAAGAUUCAUAUAAAUGGCUAUUCUAGUUUGGUACCCAAGUUUUUGUGCCAUUUUUGUUCUUAUUCUUGUAACAGGUGGCAUGGGAGAUACUCCAACAAAAAUGGAGAAUAUUAUGAAUGGUGGAGAUGAUUUAGAUUAUGUUUAUCAAUGUACAGCAAAUUUAGGUCCAUGUAAUUAUGACAUUUGCCAAGAUGCUUGUUGUAUUAAGCUAUGUAAUAAUUAUUAUAGUGGACUUCACCCUAGUCCAAAGUGUGAGGAUUUGGGACCUAAAUUUCAGGAUAAAUUUUGUAUUUGUAGGCAUGAUUGUUAUAAAAACUAAUACAAAUCUUAUAUUAUAUAAAUAAUACUUAAUUUGGAUAUUAUAUAUAUCCAAAGAAUUGAGAAUAA